CCUACGGUGAGCAGCAGUGGGGAAUAUUGGACAAUGGGGGGAACCCUGAUCCAGCGACGCCGCGUGAGUGAAGAAGUAUUUCGGUAUGUAAAGCUCUAUCAGCAGGGAAGAAAGAAAUGACGGUACCUGACUAAGAAGCCCCGGCUAACUACGUGCCAGCAGCCGCGGUAAUACGUAGGGGGCAAGCGUUAUCCGGAUUUACUGGGUGUAAAGGGAGCGUAGACGGCGAUGCAAGUCUGAAGUGAAAGGCGGGGGCCCAACCUCCGGACUGCUUUGGAAACUGUAUGGCUGGAGUGCAGGAGAGGUAAGUGGAAUUCCUAGUGUAGCGGUGAAAUGCGUAGAUAUUAGGAGGAACACCAGUGGCGAAGGCGGCUUACUGGACUGUAACUGACGUUGAGGCUCGAAAGCGUGGGGAGCAAACAGGAUUAGAUACCCCAGUAGUC
rnacentral:rRNA from 1 species